GACGAACGCUGGCGGCGUGCUUAACACAUGCAAGUCGAACGGAAAGGCCCUGCUUGCAGGGUACUCGAGUGGCGAACGGGUGAGUAACACGUGGGUGAUCUGCCCUGCACUUCGGGAUAAGCCUGGGAAACUGGGUCUAAUACCGGAUAGGAGCCAUUUCUAGUGUGAUGGUUGGAAAGUUUUUUCGGUGUAGGAUGAGCGCGCGGCCUAUCAGCUUGUUGGUGGGGUAAUGGCCUACCAAGGCGGCGACGGGUAGCCGGCCUGAGAGGGUGGACGGCCACAUUGGGACUGAGAUACGGCCCAGACUCCUACGGGAGGCAGCAGUGGGGAAUAUUGCACAAUGGGCGCAAGCCUGAUGCAGCGACGCCGCGUGGGGGAUGACGGCCUUCGGGUUGUAAACUCCUUUCGCUAGGGACGAAGCUUUUUGUGACGGGACCUAGAUAAGAAGCACCGGCUAACUACGU
rnacentral:rRNA from 1 species